rnacentral:misc_RNA from 1 species
AAAGUCGUAACAAGGUAACCGUAGGUGAACCUGCGGUUGGAUCAUUAACAAAUACAAAAUGUCCCUUGCUGCUAUUAACAGCCUGGGCUUUUAACACCUGUGAAUGUUUAUUGUCUCUGGUGGGUUAAAAGCAGUAAAAGACGGAUGGCAUACACAUGUUUAACUACUUGUGCUUGUAGCUCGCUCUUAGCUGUGUUUCCCACUUUUUGGGAUCCACCCACCGCCAAUUUCUAAACACUAGACACUUUAUUAGCCUUUAUAUUUACUCUAGUUGAAUGAAAAAACAACUUUUGGCAACGGAUCUCUAGGCUCUU